ensembl:lncRNA
CCUAUGCUGCUCUGUACCAUCACUCAUUCAUAUAUCCUUAUGUACAUAUUCUUUAUCCCCUUACACUGUGUAUGACAGUAUUAUUAUUAUUAUUUUUUUUUUUUUGGAAUUGUUAGUUAGAUUACUUGCUCGUUAUUACUGCAUUGUCGGAACUAGAAGCACAAGCAUUUCGCUACACUCGCAUUAACAUCUGCUAACCAUGUGUAUGUGACAAAUAAAAUUUGAUUUGAUUUGAUUUGGUGUUCAGGCUAACUAGAGGAGGGUUAGGGGAGGAGGGGGAGAGUGGUGGUCAGGCUAACUAGAGGAGGGUUAGGGGGAGGAGGGGGAGAGUGGUGGUCAGGCUAACUAGAGGAGGGUUAGGGGGAGGAGGGGGAGAGUGGUGUUCAGGCUAACUAGAGGAGGGGGGAGAGUGGUGGUCAGGCUAACUAGAAGAGGGUUAGGGGGAGGGGGAGAGUGGUGUUCAGGUUAACUAGAGGAGGGGGAGAGUGGUGGUCAGGUUAACUAGAGGAGGGUUAGGGGGAGGAGGGGGAGAAGUGGUGGUCAGGCUAACUAGAGGAGGGUUAGGGGGAGGAGGGGGAGAGUGGUGGUCAGGCUAACUAGAAGAGGGUUAGGGGGAGGAGGGGGAGAGUGGUUGUCAGGCUAACUAGAGGAGGGGGGAGAGUGGUGGUCAGGCUAACUAGAGGAGGGGGGAGAGUGGUGGUCAGGCUAACUAGAGGAGGGGGGAGAGUGGAGGCCAAUGGGUGGCUAGGACACGGUCACACUCUGACAAGAGUUUUGGGAUGGGGGCUAAGGUGUAGAAAUGGAGGAGCGGAGGGGAUUUCAAACUGUGGCCCUGUGCUGUGACAACGACAGUGUGUGUGUGUGUGUGUUUGGUCUGAGUGCGUGUGUGUGUGAGCUGUCUUCCCUAAAGGCACAGCUUGGUCCCAGCUCCCGGCCCUGGGAUGCCAUGAUAGCACAGAGGGACGAGGGGAGUGUGAUUAAUCUGUAGCCCCC